GGGAAAUAAAAGUUAAGUUACCUAUAUAAAGUUGUUACAUAUUAUAGUUAAGUCUAUAUGCCAUAAAGUUAUGGUUCCAUUAAAACUUUAAUUUCAAGCAAAACAGCUAAAUAUAUAUUAACAAACAGAUAAAUUGGAUACGUGACAGCACUUACUCAUGAAUUAAUAUUCAAUUACACGUUUAAUCAGGCGCUCAACAAAUUCGAAACUUUUAUAGUGGACAUAUAUUAUGUUCUGUUGAAUAUUUUGGAAGAAAUAUUUAUUUGCCAACUUCACGACGGAAAGGGAAUAAAAUUAUGCUACCCAUAAAGAAAUAUUCAUAUAUGCUACAAUUAUCGAUGUAGUAUCUUGCCUGAACAAAUAAUGUCUCGUAUCAACAGUCACACGACAAAAAUGGAAUACAAUAUAACGGAAAAG